AUGGAGAAAUUCAACCUGCGUUUCUACUCCACAGCAGUUGCCAGGGUGGCCUCAGGGACAGUGAUGGUUGUGCCCGUUGCCCUGUCCCUUCCUGGCCAUCACACGACCACCGUGCAUGCCAAGGGCUCACCAAGGCAGCUCGUGGCAUUGAGGAGAGAGGCCAUGACCCAGCAGCAGAGGCUGAGGGGGGUCAGAAGGUGGAGCAGAACUGGUCGCUGGAGAGGUCAGGAGGUGGAGCACAGCUGCUCGCUGGAGGGGUCCCUGGAGGGGUCAGGAGGUGAGAAAAGGACCCAGAAGAAGCCAUCUAUCCCUCAAGGCUGGAGCAGAGUCCCAGUGUUCCCUGAGCCAGACCACCCCACCUCAGCUCCACAGCCCACCCCAGCCUCCAUCCAGCCUCCAUCCAUCUACCCCUUGAGGCUCUGUUGCACAGAAGAAGCCCGUGUGAGGCUGGGCUGCCUGGUCAAGGACUACUUCCCAGGGUCAGUGACUGUGACCUGGGACACAGUGCCCCUGGACGGGAGCACCCUGACCUUCCCUAGCAUCCAAAUGUCGAGCUCCAGUCUCUACACUACCACCAGCCAUCUGACCAUCUCGGGCGAGCAGUCCAAGCAGUUCACCUGCAGAGUUUUACACGCUGAGACCAACUCCAACUUGAAUAAGACCGUCAGCACUGAGUGCACCAAGAACUUCAGUGACCCCUCAGUGAAGCUCUUCUACUCCUCCUGCAACCCCAAUGGCGACACCCAAACCACCAUCCACCUCCUGUGCCGGAUCUCCGGCUACACCCCAGGCAAAAUCAAGGUCACCUGGCUGGUGGAUGGGGUCAAGUCCGAAGAGCUGCAUGCACGAUCCGGCCCCGAGAUACAGGAGGGCAAUCUGACUUCCACCUACAGUGAAGUCAACAUCACACAGGGCCAGUGGGUGUCUGAGAAAACCUACACCUGCCAGGUCAACUAUUACGGCUUCAACUUCGAAAGCCACGCCCACAGGUGCACAGCCGAGUCCGAGCCCCGCGGCGUGAGCGCCUACCUGAGCCCACCCACCCCCCUCGAGCUGUACGUUAACAAGUCACCCAAGAUCACCUGCCUGGUUGUGGACCUGGCCAACGAGAAGAACUUGAGCCUGACCUGGUCGAGGGCAAAUGGGAAGCCUGUGCACGCAGGCCCCCCUGAGAUCAAGCGUCAGUUCAAUGGGACGGUCACCGUCACGUCCACCCUGCCGGUGGACGUCACUGACUGGGUAGAAGGCGAGACCUACUACUGCAAAGUGAGCCACAGCGACCUGCCCACGGACAUCCAGCGAUCCAUCUCCAAGGAUGUUGGCAAGCGUCUGGCCCCCAAGGCCUACGUGUUCUUGCCAGACGGAAAGGAGCUGGAGAAUGAGGAGGAGCUCACCCUCACCUGCAUGAUCCAGAAAUUCUUCCCCAGGGACAUCUUUGUGCGGUGGCUGCAUAACAAGGAACUGAUGCGGGCAGACCAGCACACCACCACACAACCCCACAGGGCCGACAACAACACCCCAGCCUUCUUCGCCUACAGCCGCCUGGCGGUCCCUAAGGCCAACUGGAAGAGGGGCGAUGAGUUCACCUGCCAAGUGAUCCACGAGGCACUGCCCAGGACUAGGACCCUGGAGAAAUCGGUGUUCAUUAACAGCGGUAAAUAAUGCCCGGCCUCCUGCCCGCCCCUCUCCAGGGGCAGGGGAGGGGCCAGUGGGACCUUCUGUCCACUGUCAAUAAACACUCUGGUGCCUGCUCAGAGCCCUGGGCAUGCCUGUUCUUGGGGCUCGUGGGCUGUGGGUCAGGGUGGUGGGGGGGAUGUCCCGGCACAGAAGAAGGGAAGGCUUGGCAGGUAGACAGGGCUGAGGCAGGGCUCUGUCCAGCAUCACUCUCCAUGUCGAGGCCCUCCCCCUACCCCGCUAUGAAUUCUGCCGACUCAGCAAGUUCUAAGAGCCAGAGGGUGGUCUUAGGGGAGGGACCACAGAGACC